UACGUAGGGAGCAAGCGUUGUCCGGAAUCAUUGGGCGUAAAGCGCGCGUAGGCGGCCCUGUAAGUCCGUUGUGAAAGUCAAAGGCUCAACCUUUGAAAGCCGAUGGAUACUGCAGGGCUAGAGUCCGGAAGAGGCGAGUGGAAUUCCUGGUGUAGCGGUGGAAUGCGCAGAUAUCAGGAGGAACACCCAUAGCGAAGGCAGCUCGCUGGGACGGUACUGACGCUAAGGCGCGAAAGCGUGGGGAGCGAACAGG
rnacentral:rRNA from 1 species